rnacentral:rRNA from 1 species
UACAGAGGGUGCAAGCGUUAUUCGGAAUUACUGGGCGUAAAGCGUGCGCAGGCGGUGAUGUAAGUCAGUUGUGAAAUCCCCGGGCUCAACCUGGGAACUGCAUCUGUGACUGCAUCGCUGGAGUGCGGCAGAGGGGGAUGGAAUUCCGCGUGUAGCAGUGAAAUGCGUAGAUAUGCGGAGGAACACCGAUGGCGAAGGCAAUCCCCUGGGCCUGCACUGACGCUCAUGCACGAAAGCGUGGGGAGCAAGCAGG